GACGAAGGUGGCGAGCGUUGUUCGGAAUCACUGGGCAUAAAGCGCACGUAGGCGGCCAAGUCAGUCAGGUGUGAAAGCCCUCGGCUCAACCGAGGAACUGCGCCUGAUACUGCUUGGCUUGAGGUCCGGAGGGGAGAGUGGAAUUCCCGGUGGAGCGGUGAAAUGCGUAGAGAUCGGGAAGAACGCCGGCGGCGAAAGCGACUCUCUGGUCGGAAUCUGACGCUGAGGUGCGAAAGCUAGGGGAGCAAACGGG
rnacentral:rRNA from 1 species